rnacentral:rRNA from 1 species
CGGCGUGGAUGAGGCAUGCAAGUCGAACGGAGUUGAUCAAGCUUGCUUGAUCAAUUGAGUGGCGAAAGGGUUAGUAAUACAUGGGUAACCUACCUCUAACCUGGGAAUAACAGCUGGAAACGGCUGCUAAUACCGGAUGUGGUAGCAGAGAGGCAUCUCUUUGUUAUUAAAGUGGGGGAUCUUCGGACCUCGCGGUUAGAGAGGGACCCAUGCGAUAUCAGCUAGUUGGUGAGGUAAAAGCUCACCAAGGUUAAGACGUCUAGGCGGGUUGAGAGGUUGACCGCCAACACUGGGACUGAGAACUGCCCAGACUCCUACGGGAGGCUGCAGUCGAGAAUCAUUCGCAAUGGGCGAAAGCCUGACGAUGCGACGCCGCGUGAGCGAAGAAGGCCUUCGGGUCGUAAAGCUCUUUCGCUUGGGAACAAGAGAAGGUGAAUAAUACUCGCCUAAUUUGAGGGUACCAGGUAAAGAAGCACCGGCUAACUCCGUGCCAGCAGCUGCGGUAAUACGGAGGGUGCAAGCAUUAAUCGGAGUUAUUGGGCGUAAAGAGUGCGUAGGCUGAAGCGUAAGUCAGAUGUGAAAGCCCGGGGCUUAACCCCGGAAUUGCAUUUGAAACUGCGUUUCUAGAGGGUAGGCGGGGAAAACGGAAUUCCACGUGUAGCGGUGAAAUGCGUAGAUAUGUGGAGGAACACCGGUGGCGAAGGCGGUUUUCUAGCUUAUACCUGACGCUGAGGCACGAAAGCGAGGGGAGCAAACAGGAUUAGAUACCCUGGUAGUCCUCGCCGUAAACGAUGCACACUAGGUGUAGCCGGACUCAACCCCGGUUUUGCCGUAGCUAACGCGUUAAGUGUGUCGCCUGAGGAGUACGCUCGCAAGGGUGAAACUCAAAAGAAUUGACGGGGACCCGCACAAGCAGUGGAGCAUGUGGUUUAAUUCGAUGCAACGCGAAGAACCUUACCUAGACUUGACAUAUAGAGGACGACGCUAGAAAUAGCGUUUCCCUUAGUGGCCUCUAUACAGGUGCUGCAUGGCUGUCGUCAGCUCGUGCCGUGAGGUGUUGGGUUAAGUCCCGCAACGAGCGCAACCCUUAUC